rnacentral:lncRNA from 1 species
CAUUAUCACGUGUAGAAAUUGAUUACACAUCAAGCGUAAGAUAAAUUUGACCAACUCUAUGAGAACACUGUACAUUUUGUGCACUGUGUAUAUUUUGUGUUUCUGUCUUAGUUUGGUUGAAUCCAUCUUCCAUAGCUUGUCAUUUGUAAUCUUUAUAUCAUUUUAUUUAAGCCAUCAUGCAAAAAAAAGACCAAACUAAAUGCAACAGCAUAGUCCACAAAGUCAACCAAAAAAAA